rnacentral:rRNA from 1 species
GUGGGGAAUCUUAGACAAUGGGGAAAACCCUGAUCUAGCCAUGCCGCGUGAGCGAUGAAGGCCUUAGGGUUGUAAAGCUCUUUCAGAGGGGAAGAUAAUGACGGUACCCUCAGAAGAAGCCCCGGCUAACUCCGUGCCAGCAGCCGCGGUAAUACGGAGGGGGCUAGCGUUGUUCGGAAUUACUGGGCGUAAAGCGCACGUAGGCGGACCAGAAAGUCAGGGGUGAAAUCCCGGGGCUCAACCCCGGAACUGCCUUUGAAACUCCUGGUCUUGAGGUCGAGAGAGGUGAGUGGAAUUCCGAGUGUAGAGGUGAAAUUCGUAGAUAUUCGGAGGAACACCAGUGGCGAAGGCGGCUCACUGGCUCGAUACUGACGCUGAGGUGCGAAAGCGUGGGGAGCAAACAGGAUUAGAAACCCCGGUAGUCC